UAUUGAUCAAAGAACAAGAAAAAUCAAAAGUAAAUGAAAGUGUCCAGUCAAUGCCAUUGCUAUAUAUCUUGUACGAGAGAGGAAAGAUUUAGGGGUGGCGGAGCCAAAAAUCAAUUGCUCCAUCUCCAAAGGAUCAGUUUAGAGUCUACACCGGCCAGAUGCUAUUUGAAGACUCGUGUUCUGUUCCAUAAAUCGUGAACAUAUACAGCUCAUGCAGACGUUGCCUAUCACCUUUUUCACCAAAGAUUAAUUUCUCUUUGGGAAUCUCAGAGUGGACCUAUCAAAACUUUCUACUGCCUACUAGAAUUUAAUGGAUAUGGCUAAUCCAUUCCAAUGUCCCCGCGCUUUAAUGCAAUUUUUCCAUGUCACAAAAAUCAACAACUUCUCGCAAUGGAAUGAAAAUUUGCCACUGUGGAUUUAAUGCGCCACUGACUAUAUCAUGGUCAUCUGCAAAUUCAGGUCGCCGAUUUUAUGGUUGUAAAUUGGGUCGAGGUGGCUGCAAAUAUUUCAGAUGGCAUGAUGAUAAAAUGCUUGACCAAGCUAAGAGGGUUAUACGGGGUCUGUUGAAGAGAGUCGAAAGAACUGAGAAAAUAGUUGCGCGGCUGAAGUGGUUAUUUGUUGUGGUGGUGGUGUUGUUUCUAUGGAUUUGGCUUUGGUGAUGCUGGUGGUUUGAAGAAUAAUGUAGUAUUUUUAUGAUAUGCUGGUGCUAAUAGUGUUGUAGUUGCUGCUAUUAGUUCAAGAAAAAUAUAGUAUGUUGGAAGUAAGUACUAGGAAUUUGGCCUUUUGUUAAUGUACAUUAUCUUGUAAUGAAUGAAAUGCAAAUGGCCAAUUUUUAAUGCAAAUUU